UUGGCCCAUGUCCAGUGCAAGAUGGUAGAACCAGGCCUUAAGCUCUGAAUUUGUUGCUUUCUGAUAUGAUAGAGUUGAAAAAGUAGGGCUUCCCCAUAGAGGGGAAGGUAGGUCAGAGAACGCCUACAGACAGACUCCCCUACAUACUGAGUGUGAGCCCACUCUUUAGGAGGAAAGUCGAGGCACAGCCUGGACUGCGUGUCUUCUGGGCCGUGUGCCUUUAUUCGGAUAGACCCAGAGCCUCUCUGAAGGGAGAGAGAGGUGCUCGUCUGUAUUUAUAGCACACUUAGUUCGUGAUGGUUUCGGCUCACCCUGGGCACGUUCCCUGAGGGGCUGGGUUGGGACAGGGCAGCAGCACGCAGAUGUCUGUCCGUUUGUAUUCCCCGGAUGCAGGCUUGGCUCCGAGAGAAGUCCUGUUGUGGGGAAGCCACAGAGGAGUUGUUUUGCAGGACGAGGCCUCUGAUAACUUUUGUGUGAAGAUGCGUCAUUAUCACACCCAGAUCCUUCUGUUCUCCUGGAGGCUGGGAAGGAGGGUGGCGGGACCUGCAGCUGGGAGGCCAUCUAGGCCAGACUCCAGGGAGAGCUGUGGCGGCCCCUUUGCCGAGGGCUCCCGAAGACACACAGAGCCUCUUUAUCUCAGAAGAGGGACUGGAUGUCCCUGUCAAGGUCCCUCGGGUCCUGAGUGUGUGGGACUGUGAGACUGUCCUCGGAACAGCAUGAGCGUCAGGUACCAGGUUCUCGAGCAGGCUGCCUCUUUUCUUUCUGCCAGGGAAAUGAGGCCAACCCGGGUGGGGGGCACCUGAGCAUCGGGCCUGGAGCUCUAACCUUGUGCCCCCAUGCAGAGAGAACUCCCAGAACUGACCCUGCAGGACUGAUAUUGUUUGCAGAGAAAACAAGGGGAAAGCCAUGCUGUCCCUCCUUGCUGCCAGGAAAGAGCUCUGAGCGGCUCUCCUCCUGUAUUUGUACCACUGCCACUGCCCACCCUUGCCGACCCCCCAGCCCUCGGCCCGUUGAUAGGCACUGGGCAUGGGAAGGAAAAUUCGGUGGGUGAGCCAGGAGCCAGGGCCAGACACGGUUUACUGGGAAGAAGGUAGGACACGGAAGGGGAGUAUCUCAGGGCAGGCCCCACAGGCACACGUGUGUUCAGAUGGACAUACUAUUUCCUGGUAUUUUUGGUAACCCCAAAGCCUGACAUCAACCAGUCAAUGCCUAAAUGAGGGCUGAUUUCGCGUGGAGAAUCCUACCUACUUUUGUGUUACAUCUGCAGCUUUGCAUCAAAAGGCCUGACGGACUGGGGACCUUUGGCUGGGCCCUCCUUGUCUGUAAGAUCAUGCUUAUUUUAUAUUGAUUUUCUGUCCCCUUUCUCUCCUGCUUGCCACUCUCACGCAUUCCUUAGGUAUCCAUGAAUAUUUGCCCACGCAUCCAUGUUACUGUUUCCUCAGGGGAGACCGUUCUUCCGGUGUCUUGGACAUCGCUGAACUUAUUACUUUUAUUUCAAACAUGAGCAGCCAGAGGCUGAGGAGUGCCAUCCUUGAACUGUCCAUGGAGGCCCCUUCUGUACCUCGUUCUGGAGUGGGGUGUGCAGAGCCCUGAGGAGACGGGAACCCAGAGGGUCUGCGGGAAGCUGCUUGGCCCCAUGUUGUGCCCCCUGUUUGGGGAGGGGGCUGCUGAGGCAUGAAUCCCCCACCCCUGACUAUUAGCUGACCCUGAGUAGUGUGGCCUUGGAAGUCCGAGAGCACGUGUCCCCCUGCUUAGGGGAAGACGACAGAGAGGGACAGGGACAGAGAGGAAGGGAACACGCGCUCCUGGCCACUGGCCUCUCUCCAAGACAGGUGAACUCUGUGUUCAAAAAGGAACUCAUUUAAUCUUUUGGCCCUAAUGAAAGUUGUUUGUAUUUUCUCUCCCUCUCUCUUCACCCUCCUCUUUCUCCCUCAACACCCCCGCCUCCACCCUCCAGCCUCCAAAAGAAUUUAAUCUGCUGGACAACAAACAAUACUGUUAUAAAACUUUGAAAACAAGAGGGUGAGGCCUCCCUGACAAGGAGAAGGGCAUGCCGGGUAACAGCCGAGGGAGCCUGCCAGGCCCGAGAUGCAGCCGGGCGAGGGCCCAGUUGGCUGGAUACCUGGGCGCCUGCCCCUACCCGGCCCACCAGCCGAGCCAUCCCCAGUCCAGAGGGGGAAGGAACCGAAACAAAAGCAGGGGCAGAGAAGCGCCUGGAAAGGGGAAGUCAAGUUUUACGUGUUCCCCUCUCUCUGAUCUGAUGUAAGGGCGCUAGACUGUGAAACUUCCUCCCGCCCCUCCCCCCCAGCCUCUCUCCCUCCCUCCUCACCUUACCUCCUCCUGCCUCCUCCCACCACUCUCUGUUCCAGGCCCAAGGCCUGAUAACAGAACAAGGCUGGCCUAGGUACAGCCACUGGCCGCCCGGCUGCAGGGCGAGCCAGCAAGGAAGGUGUUCCAAGUUGGCUUUGGACUCUGGACGUACCCUCUGCGUCCCCUCCCUGCCCCCAGCUAGAGAAGUGGAACCAUGUUCCGGGGUGUGCCCCAGUCCGUGUGCUCCGCCCAGGGCUGUGCCCAGGCACUGGGAGAACCUCCGCUUGGAGGUUAGUGGGUCUCCCUCUCAGUGUCCCGCCGUCGGCUGGAGGCCACGCUCCAGGGAGGCUGUCUGACUGCACAGGUGGCCUGCUCUCCCUCCAGAAGGAGAGGGGGCUGAGCCCCGGAGCCCCAGAGCCCCGAGGGGCUGGGGGGACAGAGACUUGCUCCCUGCAGCGAGUAGACACAGGGUCCUGGGAGCAGGUUGAUGGUGGGGUCCUGUGUCUGUUCUUGGGGUGACCCAGCCCCGCCUGGGGAGCAGGGAACCUGGGCCUUGGGGCAUCACCCUCCAGCCUCCUGAGUUAGAUGUCACCUGAGACCGAAGUUCCACUGGCACUUUACGUGUGCCUUGGCUGCGUUGAGCACAUGAUUUGGGAAAGGAGAGGGAGAAGCAGUGGUGGGCUGCCUUUGGCUGGACGUGAUUUGGACCCGUGAACUGUGCGGUGGGCAUGGUGUUUGUGUCGUGGACUAUAGGCCUGCUCACUCUCCUCCUGUGGGAGGCAUUUCAGGGCAGUGCCCCUCCUCCUGCUCUGCCUCAGCUGAGCCACUCUCUGGGGACGCAGGGGGCCCCUCUUCAUCCCAUCGCUCCUCCUCUGUGCCCCCCACUGCCCUCCACGGCCCCCCACACCCCGCAGCAUGCCAAGGCGUCUCAGUCUCGCCCGGCCAGGCGUUCCAACCCUGGGCCUGUACUGAACCUGGAAGAUUCCCAGAUGCGGGUCUCCGUUGGUGUUGAGGACGGGGCAGAGAACCGAACCUGGUGGAAAGCGGCUGCCUGGGAACUUAGCUGUGGUACCCCUGCCCCAGGGAAAACCGGAAUUGCUGAUGGGGCGCCCAGGUGAUGUAAGAAGGCCGUGACCUCUUGCCCUGUCAUCUCCACAGGCAUUUGAGGGGUUCAGUGGGUCCAGAGCACAUUGUUCCCGCUUCAGGAUGCAGGGUCUGGGACCCUAGUGAUCCCGUGAUGCCCAGCCCUUUUUUGGGGGGCCAACCUGCUGGGAAACAGGAAAAGAGCCAGCUCCGUGUUUCCCUCCUCCCUCGCCCCCCAUGCACAUACCCAUACACAUUUUAUCACCCUUUCCUCUGAUUCAUUAACCACAGCUAGUUGGCAACAGGCCCCCACCCUGACAGCUCAAGACAAAAUGUCCAGGACACUGGGUCUGGCUGGGAGCCGAGUGACAGGAAGCUGGGCCGGGCCUCUGGGCUCACAUGUACAAUGGGCAAGGACUGUCUGGAGCGCAGAACUGUCCCCAGUUUCAAAAGGGUCUUCCCCAGGCCACUCUCUCACCAAGAUGACUCGUCGUCACUUCAGGGGCCUGGAAACCAGCAUUCCGGGGAGCAGGAAGACCUGAUCUGGGCUCUGCUUCCGGCACCCCUCCCCCGCACCCACUGGAGCUUGCAUCAGUCUAUAAAACACGGCCUCUCCACGUCACUGUACUCCCGCUGCAUGUGGUCUCUGCUUCUCUGUCCUAAGUUUCCCGUCCCAGCCCCUCGAACGUUUGAAUGCAUGAACCCUCCCUCUUUUUGGAAGAACUGAGACCCAUUUGAGGGAAGUGCAGGCUGAGCAGGAAUUAAAGCCCCUGUGCUCUGAGUCACUGUGUGGUGACCUUUCCUUCACGCUCAGUCCCUGCCCAGGCAGAGGAGUGUCUAGGCUUGAGGGGGUGGAAAAACCUCCAAAUAGAACGUCUGCGCAGAAGUGGACGGAGGCUGCACUGUGCUUCCCAACCUUCUUCCUGCACGGUGGCACACCCGGCCCUGUGGCUGGGCCGUUUUCCUUCCCCAAGAGCGCACCUAGCUCUUCCCACGGGGCCGUGUGCCUAGGACUGUGGGGCCAGGCUGGGAGCAUCACACCGUCUGCUUUUGACUGCAGAGCCCUAGCAGGCUGGGCUUCCACGGGGCUGCCUUCUUACGGCUCUCGGUGGCCUUCGAGCUGGGUGCCAGGGAGAGCAGGCCCCUUGCAGCCCCCGGUCAGACCAUCCAGCUCCAUCCGACAAGGGACCGGAAACACCAGCUAGCUGCAGGUAAGUGCAUCCUUGCUCAGCGGACUUUGCGAGAAAAGCCUGGGUCCCCUGGGAGGGCUGAGACCCAAACAGACUUCCGUCCAGUGGGGUCGGAAGGGCAAAAGGUGUUGGUACUAGGAUUACUCGCCCCCCCUUUUCUUGUCUUGUUUAUGCUCAUGGGUUGUGAAUGAUUUCUCUCUUCCUCCAGAGAACUGAGUGUUGUCGAACUCAGUCUGGGGGCCCAGACCCUAGCUCAUGGCCCUCAGUUCCCUCCUCAAUUGCUCCUCUGCCAUGUGCCGCUUCCCCUCUGAAUUCAGGGCUGGUGCUUCCUGGGUAGCAGGAGAGCCAGUAAUUAAUCCUGAUGACCACGUGAUGGAUGUGAAGGACAAGAACUCGGUGCUGUGAGAGGGCGUAACUGACACCUAGCUCAUCUGGGGAAAGCUUCAGGCGACCCGCGUUACCUGGGAGAGGGUUGAUGGGGUGGCAGCCCUGGAGAGCAGAAGACAGAGAAUGUUCCAGAAAGAGGGAACGGGGUACCCAGAGGCCUGCUGGCGGAGGAAGGAGGCUGUCUGGAUCACUGACAGACGCCUGUGUGAUGAUACCUUGGGGAAGGUUUUGUGGAUACAGGCAGUCAGGAGUUGCUAAGGGGGAAGGUUUCAGCUGGAGUAAAAUCGAGAAGUACUAAAGGUAGAUCGCCACUCCCUCAUUGUGUAGCACGCCACAGAAAUGACUGCCAUUGACCACGUACUUCCUGACCUUAAAACCCUGGAAGUUACCUGCUUCACAGGGCCCAGCUGUUGACCGCAGGUGCCCUGGGUCAGAGCCGCUGCCCAUCUCCUCCGUCGGGGGCCAAGGCCUCGCCAGGCCCCUGGGCUGAGAGCCCAGUGCCGGGGUCAGAAUCCGGAAUCCAGCACAGGCAUUGCUGGUGGUUCGUCUCCAGCGCCUCCCCCCACCCCAGCCAUGCUGUGGGUGAGCGCAGGGGCUCCAGAGGCGCAGGAGGACUGGGCGAGCCAGCUUGGGGCAUCCGGCCCCUCACAGGACCAGCUGGGCUCCCAUUUCCACCCGGGCUAAACGUGCUGUGCGGUCAGUCACAUCCACAGCCACACAAACACCUUGCUAGGACUCCCCUCAUUCCCCCCCACUCCCGCCCAGUCUUGCUCACAAUUGAGUUCAAGAACAUGAGAUGACAGCGCAGCUGUGGAGCAGGCACAAUGGACAGAGGGACAGGAACACAGACUCGAGUUAGACUCAGGUCUGUACCGUGUAGUGGUCACGUGACGGUGGGCCAGUUACUGGACUGCAUUAAGGAGCCGUUCCUCCUGCAAGCUCGGGACUGAUACUCGCUUCACAAGACCGACCCAUUUAAAGCUCCCACCUCAGUGUUUGAAUUUUAUUUCCUUCUCUUUCCUGGAGUAGCACAUGCUGUUAUUCCAGGAGCCACAAUAAAUACAGCCUGGAUCUGGAAGCCUUCAGAGCUGGUAGACAGCCCGAAAGAUCCAGAUUCUACGGUCUCCUCUUUCCUUGGUUGUGGUAUCCCAGGAAAUAUAGACCUGUUUUCUCAGCUUCCAACGACCAAAAAAAACCAACACACAUUUAGGAGAUGGGAAAUCUAAUUUGAACACAGGAUGCAAAUCUUAUUUUCAGACCAGUUUUGAAAACAACACAAAACUCAGUCAUUGUGUUAGAGGAUUAUCUACUUAACACAACGUCAGGACACCAUAUUUUUGGUGUGAAUCACAGCAGAGGUUAAAUAAAGAUGGUUGACGUGCUGACCCUGACGUGAGGCUGGGAAGGUGGAGCCCAGGCUCUUUGUGAAUAGGGCACAUCAACAGUGGCCCCAGGGCAGGUGAAACUCACCUUUGUGUACUGGGCUAGAAUUUUCUAGGCAGAUAGCGUGCUUGUUUCCUGAUGCUGGGACAGAGGAUCGGAAAACACUGCAUGCUGUGAAAUGUUUUGUAGAGCAGGGCAAUGCUAAUGAAAAUAUUAUUGCAUUUUAAUAAUAGCUCUGGAAUAUUUUCCUUCAUCAUAUGUGUAAUAACUUGUUAGGACUGGUUGUCUAGAGUGAACUAGACUUCCGAGUUUUAUAUUGCUACCAUCUGUGUGACGCCUCCGCCGUGACUUUCACAUUCCUUGAGCAUCACUGGGUAGCUCUCCUCCGUGCCUUUCUAAUGGACCGAGAUGCCCCGUCCCAAGUGGAACUGCAAGACGACAGACAGAUCUCCUCAGGCAGCACCUGGGUCUUCUGAUUACAUCUCCUUUCUUCAAUGAGACCCUCUUCUUCUGGAAGCUGGUUUCACAUGGUGGCUUAGAUUUUUCCAUCUUUGUAUCUAGCACCAUUUGAAAUCAGUGUUUUAGGAGUAAGAAUUGCAGCGCACCAAAGGGCCACCUGCAGAGGGGCUCUCACCGGUGGGACAGACCCCCUCCUUCUGCCGCCUGAGCCGGUCCAAGAGAGGAAGAACUUGAAAAGGAAAGUGCACCCUAGCGUUAUGUAGGUUGUGGAGGGGCAGCAUUGUGGGGAGGGUGUUGUGUUUCAAAGAAACUCCGCUUUGGAGGUGGUGCAGGGCUGCAGCCAGCACCUGUGAGCACCACCCAGCUCUCACCUGCCCGGAGAGCCUUUGAACGUGGAGAUCAGGGAUGCCGGCUCCAGUGCUUGAUUGUAACAGGGGAGGGUGAGGCUGUGUACCGAGGACGGUUCCAUCCUUCUCGGCAUUGCACCUGCUCCUAGAGGCCCUGGAACAUUCAGCUGCCCUUUCAGUGCAGCUGGAAUCAGACUUAACCACCUGCACGGUCAAGUGCAGGACCCCCAGGAACGCCACUGGACCAUCUCUUACACAGGCUGACCGAUUUCUCCUGGUGUUCAGAGUCUGUUUUUGUCUAGCACCAUUUGAAAUCGGUUAUGAUGUAGGGGGAAAAGCAGCAGCCUCGAAGCCUCACGCCAAGUCUGGGGAGCAGCGGCCUGUGGUUUCCCGGAAGACGGAUGGGCGGAGCGUAGGGGAAGGACAAUCACACUUGUUUCACUAACUGCUUCUCUAACCGCAUUUAUGAUACCUUAUGCAGAGGUAAGAGAGAAUUUAACGCAUUUGAAAAAACAAAUCAAAUCGCUGUAAUGUAUCUGAUGUCCUCAGUUGCAGUUUGCUAAAAUGUGGCGAUGCUGUAUGUCUGUAAAUGGUUGGUGUUGAAUUCUCUGUUAAGAGUUUGUUCGUGCGUCCUGACCUGAAUAAAUAUUUUACUCUCUUCAAUUCA